rnacentral:rRNA from 1 species
AUGAACGCUGGCGGCGUGCUUAAUACAUGCAAGUCGAACGAUUAAGACGGCUUCGGCCGUGUAUAGAGUGGCGAACGGGUGAGUAACACGUGACCAACCUGCCCCGCGCUCCGGGACAACCGCUGGAAACGGCGGCUAAUACCGGAUGCUCCGGGGAGGCCCCAUGGCCUCCCCGGGAAAGCCCUGACGGCGCGGGAUGGGGUCGCGGCCCAUUAGGUAGACGGCGGGGUAACGGCCCACCGUGCCCGCGAUGGGUAGCCGGACUGAGAGGUCGACCGGCCACAUUGGGACUGAGAUACGGCCCAGACUCCUACGGGAGGCAGCAGUGGGGAAUUUUGCGCAAUGGGGGGAACCCUGACGCAGCAACGCCGCGUGCGGGACGAAGGCCUUCGGGUUGUAAACCGCUUUCAGCAGGGAAGACAUAGACGGUACCUGCAGAAGAAGCUCCGGCUAACUACGUGCCAGCAGCCGCGGUAAUACGUAGGGGGCGAGCGUUAUCCGGAUUCAUUGGGCGUAAAGCGCGCGUAGGCGGCCGCCUAAGCGGAACCUCUAAUCCCGGGGCUCAACCUCGGGCCGGGUUCCGGACUGGGCGGCUCGAGUGCGGUAGAGGCAGGCGGAAUUCCCGGUGUAGCGGUGGAAUGCGCAGAUAUCGGGAAGAACACCGAUGGCGAAGGCAGCCUGCUGGGCCGCCACUGACGCUGAGGCGCGAAAGCUGGGGGAGCGAACAGGAUUAGAUACCCUGGUAGUCCACGCCGUAAACGAUGAUUACUAGGUGUGGGGGGACUGACCCCUUCCGUGCCGCAGCAAACGCAAUAAGUAAUCCACCUGGGGAGUACGACCGCAAGGUUGAAACUCAAAGGAAUUGACGGGGGCCCGCACAAGCAGUGGAGUAUGUGGUUUAAUUCGAAGCAACGCGAAGAACCUUACCAGGUCUUGACAUCCUACUAACGAGAUAGAGAUAUGUUAGGUGCCCUUCGGGGAAAGUAGAGACAGGUGGUGCAUGGUUGUCGUCAGCUCGUGUCGUGAGAUGUUGGGUUAAGUCCCGCAACGAGCGCAACCCCCGUCCCGUGUUGCCAGCAUUCAGUUGGGGACUCGCGGGAGACUGCCGGCGUCAAGUCGGAGGAAGGUGGGGACGACGUCAAAUCAUCAUGCCCCUUAUGCCCUGGGCUGCACACGUGCUACAAUGGCCGGUACAGAGGGUUGCCACCCCGCGAGGGGGAGCGGAUCCCGGAAAGCCGGUCCCAGUUCGGAUCGCAGGCUGCAACCCGCCUGCGUGAAGUCGGAGUUGCUAGUAAUCGCGGAUCAGCAUGCCGCGGUGAAUACGUUCCCGGGCCUUGUACACACCGCCCGUCACACCACCCGAGUCGUCUGCACCCGAAGCCGCCGGCCGAACCCUUCUGGGGCGGAGGCGUCGAAGGUGUGGAGGGUAAGGGGGGUG